GACUGGGAGGGUUAUGGUCCGGAGGAACGUCUUUGGGUGCCAGGUUCUUUCAUUCUAGAUCCAUCUCUCAUUAGGGAUUACCGUUCCUCUCUCCCCCCUUGCUCUUCUCGGCCGCCAGGUGGCGACCAUUGGGGGGGGGGGGGGGUACUGUUGGGUUCCAAGGAUUUUAGUCCCUGUUUUCGUCCACCAGACAGCAGCAGGGAGCGGCACCUGGAAAGGACGUGCCGUCUUUCUGACACGCCUGAUGCUCAUCACCUCAUCUCCCUGGAGCAUAAGAGGAGCAGACCGCCAGCACUUCAGCGCCUGAGUGUUUGCCAGUAUUGACGUUUCCCUUGUGACGCCGUGGAUUAUACCCACUGAAUGCCCGAGACUUUUUUCAUCUCCACCGUUGGAUUACCAAAUCAUUUCCGGAUUCUCCAGCUGGCUGUCGACCGCUCCUCUUAUCUUCUCCGAGCUUCAGCCUACCUGUCCGCCCUCUAACUCUGUCUGGACAUCAUCUAAGGAUCAAGAUCCUGGAACCACAACCAUUUACUCCCCUCAGGCUCAAACCACACAUCAGCAGAAGUAAGACCUGUCAGAUUCUCUCACGGUUCUCCAGUUUCCCAUGUCCCUUAAACUCACCAUCUCCCUCUGCUGUUUUCCCUAGUGAGACCAGGACGAGCCCGUGAACCAGACUCCAGAAAAUACAAUAUCUGCUUGUAAUAUUCUGACCAUAAAUAAAUCCUCUUAACUGAU